rnacentral:sRNA from 1 species
AUUCCACUUUUGAUAUUUCUCUCUGUCUUCAAAGUACCAAACUUAGAGGAUGGUGAUACAUGGAAAUACAAGUGCAACAGCUGUUAUGUUAUCAACACACUCUAACGGAAAGUCUCUAUUGCCUUCUAUGACACCGAACGCCUCCAUAUGGAAGUGGACAGGGAAAGAUUACAUGCGGAUGCGUCGUAGCUUAGGGAUCAUAACGCAUGCGACUAUAAGGGCCAAUUUUGAAUAGGGUGUUUGGCCGUGUGCGGGAAUGUUUUAGUAAGAGUCGAGACGGAUGACUUAUACUUGCGAAUGACAUUUGUUCAGGAAAAUUAUCGCCCUGAGUCUUGUUAGUCCAUACAACUUCGGGCUGAUAUAGAAAUUUCUGAUCAAAGAAUCCUGUCCACCGGAGGAAGAACCCCUUUCUUUUCCAGCAUCUCGAACGUCUCCUCCAGUUCCUCCCAUGUAUCCGCAUAACCUGUCCAUCCUAAUUUCCUCGCUUUACUCAUCGUUCCUACGCAACUCCAGUCCCGUCCCAAAGCAAAGGUCAGAAAGUCCCAGGUGGCCUUUUCCCAAGCUUUUUGAUCUAGGUUAUACUUAUCCCUCAGUUUGCCCCACGCCUCGUUGACAUCUUGUCUCUUUGCCCACUUUUCUGGAUCGACCUGGCAAAACAAUGAGGGUGAACUCUCUGCCUUGACGCCAAUGACAUGCUCAUGCUCCUUCAACGGAUGGGCGUUCUCCAUGCGCACUGUUGUGGCCUCAUAGUUCCCAAAUCCAGCCGAAUCGGUCACCCCG